rnacentral:piRNA from 1 species
UCCCAGACAAGGGACUAUGUGUGUCCAGU